ensembl:snoRNA SNORA62 Small nucleolar RNA SNORA62/SNORA6 family
AUGGCAAUCUUUUUAUAGGUAUUAUAUAAGGAAAAUUACUUAAGUAAAAAUUUCACAAUGAACUCACAAGUGUAGGUAGUGUGCUACAUGGGGGGCAAGUCUUUUGCUAACACCACAAGGGUUUCUGGCUCAAUGAGUGGAGUCUGAUGGUAAUUCAUGCUACAUGU